UUGGACUUGAACGUGGAGCUGGGGAGACUGGGAAAGGAGCAAAUGUGUCAACCUGGGCUUGAGCGGAGCUGCUUGUAAACUGAUGAUGGGGCGAGAGAUAAGCAUCACUGUUUCGGCUGUUAGAUAUGCACCCUGACCCUGUCCUACACUCAAGAGAAUCAUAGUCAUUUUCCAAAGCUUUUUUUUUCCUGAGGAAGAUUCACCUGAGCUAACAUCUGUUGCCAGUCUUCUUCUUUUUGUACGUGAGCCCCCACCAUAGCACGGCCACUGACAGACGAGUGCUGUAGGUGCACACCAGGGAACCUAACCUGGGCCGCCAAAGUGGAGCAUGCCGAACUUAACCGCUGGGCCACCGGGGCUGGCCCCCAAAGGUUUCUUUAAAAGAAAGGGUCUGUAUCUGACUCAAGAGCAUUGGAUCAACGUCAAGCUCCCAGUUCUGACAACGUACUAUUGUUAUAGAAGAUUUUAUUGUUGGGAGAAGCUGAGUGAAGG
rnacentral:lncRNA from 1 species